rnacentral:rRNA from 1 species
AGGACGAACGCUGGCGGCGUGCUUAACACAUGCAAGUCGAGCGGUAAGGCCUUUCGGGGUACACGAGCGGCGAACGGGUGAGUAACACGUGGGUGAUCUGCCCUGCACUCUGGGAUAAGCCUGGGAAACUGGGUCUAAUACCGGAUAUGACCUGCUCUCGCAUGGGGGUGGGUGGAAAGAUUUAUCGGUGCAGGAUGGGCCCGCGGCCUAUCAGCUUGGUUGGUGGGUAAUGGCCUACCAAGGCGACGACGGGUAGCCGACCUGAGAGGGUGACCGGCCACACUGGGACUGAGACACGGCCCAGACUCCUACGGGAGCAGCAGUGGGAAUAUUGCACAAUGGGCGAAAGCUGAUGCAGCGACGCCGCGUGAGGAUGAAGGCCUUCGGUUCGUAAACCGUCUUCGAGCGAGGACGAAGCGCAAGUGACGUACCUGCGAGAAGAAGACACCG